rnacentral:snRNA from 1 species
AUCGCUUCUCGGCCUUUUGGCUAAGAUCAAGUGUAGUAUCUGUUCUUAUCAGUUUAAUAUCUGAUACGUGCCCUACCCGGGCACCAUAUAUUAAAUUGAUUUUUGGAGCAGGCGGAACUGUUGCAGCUUGCGCAAAAUGAAAACAAAGUUACACUAGCGGUGCACCAGCUUAAAAUGACAUGCUCAU